rnacentral:rRNA from 1 species
CCUACGGGAGGCUGCAGUGAGGAAUAUUGGUCAAUGGACGAGCGUCUGAACCAGCCAAGUAGCGUGAAGGAUGACUGCCCUAUGGGUUGUAAACUUCUUUUAUAAAGGAAUAAAACGAGGCACGUGUGCCUUUUUGCAUGUACUUUAUGAAUAAGGAUCGGCUAACUCCGUGCCAGCCGCAGCGGUAAUACGGAGGAUCCGAGCGUUAUCCGGAUUUAUUGGGUUUAAAGGGAGCGUAGAUGGGUUGUUAAGUCAGUUGUGAAAGUUUGCGGCUCAACCGUAAAAUUGCAAUUGAUACUGGCAGUCUUGAGUACAGUUGAGGGAGGCGGAAUUCGUGGUGUAGCGGUGAAAUGCUUAGAGAUCACGAAGAACCCCGAUUGCGAAGGCAGCUUACUAAACUGUGACUGACAUUGAUGCUCGAAAGUGUGGGUAUCAAACAGGAUUAGAUACCCCUGUAGUC